rnacentral:rRNA from 1 species
GACGAACGCUGGCGGCGUGCUUAACACAUGCAAGUCGAGCGGAAAGGCCCUUCGGGGUACUCGAGCGGCGAACGGGUGAGUAACACGUGAGUAAUCUGCCCUUGGCUUUGGGAUAACUACCGGAAACGGUGGCUAAUACCGGAUACGACAACCGUCUGCAUGGGCUGGUUGUGGAAAGUUUUUUCGGCCAGGGAUGUGCUCGCGGCCUAUCAGCUUGUUGGUGGGGUAAUGGCCUACCAAGGCUUCGACGGGUAGCCGGCCUGAGAGGGUGACCGGCCACACUGGGACUGAGACACGGCCCAGACUCCUACGGGAGGCAGCAGUGGGGAAUAUUGGACAAUGGGCGGAAGCCUGAUCCAGCAACGCCGCGUGAGGGAUGCCGGCCUUCGGGUUGUAAACCUCUUUCAGUACCGACGAAGCGCCGAUGAUGGUGGUGACGGUAGGUACAGAAGAAGCACCGGCCAACUACGU